rnacentral:lncRNA from 1 species
UUUUAAUGGCAUGAUUCAUGUGGUUACAUUUUGAUUUGGGGGCAACCCUUGAUUACCCUAUUUUUUUUCUCUAACCUGUUUGUUGAGUUUUUUUGUGAGGGCUCACAUGACUCUUGCAGAGAUGGCCUGGUGUUCCACUUUAUUUGUGGGAUACCACCUGGAGGUUUAUUCCGAUUACCUGUGCUUAAUGGCUUGAGAUAUUUGUUUG